rnacentral:tRNA from 1 species
GGAUAUAGCUCAGCUGGUUAGAGUGCCAGGUUGUGGCCCUGGAGGUCGUCGGUUCGAAUCCGAUUAUC